rnacentral:snRNA from 1 species
GGACAUGAGAGGGAUUUGGUUGUGACUCCUGUUGUUUCAUUGGUUCCCCAGGUUAAUCUGGCUGGCUUGAUAGGUACCCUCUUCCUGCCUUACUACCCAAUGCGUAUCCCUACCAAAGCUGCCUCCAGCACUGGUCAAGGUUGUGAAAGUGGAGGUGCUCUGCCUCUAGAACCACCAAACAAGGCUUCCAGAGGAGAAGAGUAUGUGAGACUUUAGGGCAAUGUGAAGGUGCCUUUGAAGUGUGGGGUCACCAAUUUAAAGGCAAGGACAUUCACCCAGUGAGUGUUUUUCUCGUGCUGCUGUGGU